rnacentral:rRNA from 1 species
UACAGAGGUCUCGAGCGUUGUUCGGAUUCAUUGGGCGUAAAGGGUGCGUAGGUGGCGCUGUAAGUCGGGUGUGAAAUCCUGAGGCUUAACCUCGGAACUGCAUUCGAUACUGCGGCGCUUGAGGACUGGAGAGGAGACUGGAAUUCAUGGUGUAGAGGUGAAAUUCGUAGAUAUCGAGAGGAACAUCGGUGGCGAAGGCGGCCUUCUGGACAGUGACUGACGCUGAGACGCGAAAGCGUGGGGAGCAAACAGG